GGUUGAUCCUGCCAGAGGUUACUGCUAUCGGAGUUCGAUUAAGCCAUGCGAGUCUAAAGGUUUCUUUCGAGAAACCUUGGCGGACUGCUCAGUAACACGUGGAUAACCUACCCUUGGGACUGGAAUAACCCCGGGAAACUGGGGAUAAUACCGGAUAGAUCAGGGAUGCUGGAAUGCACCUUGAUCCAAAGCUCCGGCGCCCAAGGAUGGGUCUGCGGUCUAUCAGGUUGUAGUGGGUGUAACGUACCUACUAUCCGACGACGGGUACGGGUUGUGAGAGCAAGAGCCCGGAGAUGGAUUCUGAGACACGAAUCCAGGCCCUACGGGGUGCAGCAGGCGCGAAAUCUUUACAAUGUGCGAAAGCAUGAUAAGGGAACUCCGAGUGCCAGUAUCUAAUACUGGCUGUCCUUGUGCCUAAAACGCACAAGAUAGCAAGGGCCGGGUAAGGCCGGUGCCAGCCGCCGCGGUAACACCGGCGGCCCGAGUGGUAGCCGCUAUUAUUGGGUCUAAAGGGUCCGUAGCCGGUUCGAUAAGUCCUCUGGGAAAUCUGGUUGCUUAACAAUCAGACUGCCAAGGGAUACUGUCGAACUUGAGGCCGGGAGAGGUAAGAGGUACUUCAGGGGUAGGAGUGAAAUCUUGUAAUCCCU
rnacentral:rRNA from 1 species